GCGACGCCCAACACACAAAACAAGCGGUGAAUGCUUUGGGGUGGGGUGACUGCGUACCUUUUGUAUAAUGGGUCAGCGACUUAUAUUCUGUAGCAAGGUUAACCGAAUAGGGGAGCCGGAGGGAAACCGAGUCUUAAUUGGGCGUUAAGUUGCAGGGUAUAGACCCGAAACCCGGUGAUCUAGCCAUGGGCAGGUUGAAGGUUGGGUAACACUAACUGGAGGACCGAACCGACUAAUGUUGAAAAAUUAGCGGAUGACCUGUGGCUGGGGGUGAAAGGCCAAUCAAACCGGGAGAUAGCUGGUUCUCCCCGAAAGCUAUUUAGGUAGCGCCUCGUGAAUUCAUCUCCGGGGGUAGAGCACUGUUUCGGCUAGGGGGCCAUCCCGGCUUACCAACCCGAUGCAAACUGCGAAUACCGGAGAAUGUUAUCACGGGAGACACACGGCGGGUGCUAACGUCCGUCGUGAAGAGGGAAACAACCCAGACCGCCAGCUAAGGUCCCAAAGUCAUGGUUAAGUGGGAAACGAUGUGGGAAGGCCCAGACAGCCAGGAUGUUGGCUUAGAAGCAGCCAUCAUUUAAAGAAAGCGUAAUAGCUCACUGGUCGAGUCGGCCUGCGCGGAAGAUGUAACGGGGCUAAACCAU
rnacentral:rRNA from 1 species